rnacentral:misc_RNA from 1 species
CGGCUGGUAUGUUCUAAAGCUGCUGAGUUUUGUUGUCCAUAUAUUUGUCUUCCUGAUAAUCUCUUAUUCAUUCUAUAGAAUCUAUACUAUUGUGUUCGGCAUGUUAAUGCAAGCUCUAUCUAGUUUGUGAAAUGCUGAAUGUAUCUCCUUUAUAUUGCUCAUUUAUGUCCAUUAAAUGAGAAGAAAGCCUUCCUUGACUGCCAAGGACAAAAUUACUUUUUUGUCAAACCUAGGACCAAUACCAACCAGGCCCAUGCCAUGCCAUGGCCUCGUCCU